rnacentral:rRNA from 1 species
GACGAACGCUGGCGGCGUGCCUAAUACAUGCAAGUAGAACGCUAAAGGAGGAGCUUGCUCUUCUGGAUGAGUUGCGAACGGGUGAGUAACGCGUAGGUAACCUGCCUGGUAGCGGGGGAUAACUAUUGGAAACGAUAGCUAAUACCGCAUAAGAGUAGAUGUUGCAUGACAUUUACUUAAAAGGUGCAAUUGCAUCACUACCAGAUGGACCUGCGUUGUAUUAGCUAGUUGGUGGGGUAACGGCUUACCAAGGCGACGAUACAUAGCCGACCUGAGAGGGUGAUCGGCCACACUGGGACUGAGACACGGCCCAGACUCCUACGGGAGGCAGCAGUAGGGAAUCUUCGGCAAUGGACGGAAGUCUGACCGAGCAACGCCGCGUGAGUGAAGAAGGUUUUCGGAUCGUAAAGCUCUGUUGUAAGAGAAGAACGAGUGUGAGAGUGGAAAGUUCACACUGUGACGGUAUCUUACCAGAAAGGGACGGCUAACUACGUG